rnacentral:rRNA from 1 species
UGGGGAAUAUUGCGCAAUGGGGGAAACCCUGACGCAGCAACGCCGCGUGGAGGAUGAAGGUUUUCGGAUUGUAAACUCCUUUGACCGAGGACGAAAAAAAUGACGGUACUCGGAAAACAAGCCACGGCUAACUACGUGCCAGCAGCCGCGGUAAUACGUAGGUGGCGAGCGUUGUCCGGAAUUACUGGGUGUAAAGGGCGUGUAGGCGGGAUUGCAAGUCAGAUGUGAAAUUCCAGGGCUCAACUCUGGAGCUGCAUCUGAAACUGUGAUUCUUGAGUGCUGGAGAGGAUAGUGGAAUUCCUAGUGUAGCGGUGAAAUGCGUAGAUAUUAGGAGGAACACCAGUGGCGAAGGCGGCUAUCUGGACAGUAACUGACGCUGAGGCGCGAAAGCGUGGGGAGCAAACA